GACCACAAUAGUUACGUUUGCUAGGUGAUUUACACGCUCAUAAAUACCUAUCCAUGUCUGGACUAGGUUUCACAAAGCUAUCCAUGUGCAGGUUCACCAUACCCGCUGAACUCCAACCACACAAACACCUUCCCCUCCUCGAUUUAGACUGAACGAGUAAGUAUCUAGGAUACGUACUCUGCUCACUCAUGUACCCUCUUUGUUUUCUGAUUCCUUCUUUUAUUUAAUUUAUUAAUUUAGUU
rnacentral:lncRNA from 1 species